rnacentral:rRNA from 1 species
UACGUAGGUGGCAAGCGUUGUCCGGAAUUACUGGGCGUAAAGCGUGCGCAGGCGGUUUGUUAAGUCUGUUGUGAAAUCCCCGAGCUCAACUUGGGAAUUGCAAUGGAUACUGGCAGGCUGGAGUAUGGUAGAGGAAGGUGGAAUUCCCGGUGUAGCAGUGAAAUGCGUAGAGAUCGGGAGGAACACCAGUGGCGAAGGCGGCCUUCUGGACCAAUACUGACGCUCAUGCACGAAAGCGUGGGGAGCAAACAGG